UCCCCCUCCCCUCCCCUCCCCUCGGCUGCCGCAGCCCCGCUCGUCGCGCGCGUCAGCGUGGGCUCCCCGGAGCGAGUCGCUAGGUAACGGGGCUGGCUCCGCAGACCCGGGCCGGGGAAGCCCGCGCGCGGGGCGUCAGCAGCGGCGCUGUGGGACGCAGGGAUCCUCCUCCCUCCGGGCCUGCAGCCCCCGGCGGGCAUGCAGCCCCCUCCCAGGAUGCCUUAACCUUCGCCCUCGCCGUUCGCCGCCGCUGGGGUGCCCCUCCCUUGCAGGGACCCAGACGCAGCCAGCCCCUUCCUCCUUCCCUGCUGGUGCGCUCUGCUCUGCGAGAGGCCGGGCGAGCACCCCACCGCCUCAGUCUCGGUGGUGGCUGGUCCUCCCGCCGAGCCCCCGCGCGGGGCAUGGGGAGCCCCGGGGCGCCGCCCGGAGACGACUCGGCUGCGCGCACACCUCGCCAGCAGCCCGCUGACAGGGACAUGAGCAGUGCGAACGGGGUCCUGCGCCCCGCGGCCAGCCCCAGCCGGCGGUGGCCAGCGGGUCGGCGCUGCCUGGGAGAAUGAGGCAGGAGCUGGCCGCUGCCUCCUCUCUCUCAUCGUCCUCCUGCUCGCCUUCCUCCGGCUCCAGUGCCCCCGGCCCGGGCCCGGCUGUGGCUCUGCUGCGUGCCCCGCGCGCCCCCCGCCCGCCUCCGGAUGCGCUGCUCGGUUAGCCUAGGGAGGAAGAUAAAGACAUUUGCAACCAAGAUGGUAAUCACAAAUGGAAAUGACGAGGACAGAGGAGGUCAAGAAAAAGAGAGCAAAGAGGAGAGCGUCUUGGCGAUGCUGGGGAUCAUCGGGACCAUCCUGAACCUGAUCGUCAUCAUAUUCGUAUACAUAUACACCACUCUGUGAAUGGCCCAGAGGCUCCUCAGACACCUCGGGAUGGCCAAAAGAUGGGAGUCCUGGAUGUCAACCAAGCAGUGACUGGAUACUGCACAAACAAGCAGGCAUGACCUACACAAACCACUCGAUCAAAUGCACCUUCGAACUUCAUAAAAGGUCACAAAAAUAAACCGAUCCUGCUGCAAGGAGCAGACUCUAAAAGCACAAUGAAUCCAACAGAACUCAUUAACACAACAAGGAACUCAACGUCUUUGGCAGGGGGCCCAGAAGACGGCUUGGAAGACCAGGCUUUGACGCCAUUGGCGAGCGGAUGGGUACAGACAUUUAUUACCCCAGAUCGCAGGCAGAUACCACACACCCGAAAAGAGCAACAGGGCAGACGCAGCUCCUCGGCACGUUCCCAGGACAUGCGUUUCAUCUUCAGUUCAGGAGCUGUUUAGCGUGGAAAACCAUAGGGGCAGUCCUUGGACAGGCACCCCACUCAUCAAAAGUGUCUAUUUGAUACUGGGGAGAUAACUUAUUUUUCUUUUUUCAUUGGCCUGACGUGUGUAUCAAGGUUUAUAAAUAUAUAUUUUUAAUAAAUGUGCUCUAUUUUUUAGCAUGAACCAAAUAUUUGGAGAGGUACCCCUGGAUUCCUAGAGCUUUCGUUGGUUCGAUCUGCUUUGCCCCCUAGGCCGCAGAUGUUCUGUUGUGUAGGCAUUCGAGUCCUAUGUCUCUUAUCUUUUACCGUCUCUCUCUUUCUCUUUUUGGUCUGAAGGACAUUUUUCCAUAAUACCCUCCAUAGUCUUGGUUGGUGCAUGUUUUUGGAUUGUCCUUUGAGUGGCUUUUUGUUGUUAUAUAGGAGACACAAAGUGAUUGUGGGCAUGUGGACCUUGGAUGCACCGUAUCCUUACUAAGAAUUAUGCAUGAACAAAGGCUGUGUGAUCCAUCAGCUUCAAGAAAUUUCUAAAGGACUACCACUGAGGAAGAGCGCAGCUCUAUUUGCAAACCAACUGUAGGAUGGACCGUUCCGCUUCUCACUGACAGCAUUCUCAUUUCAUUCUUGUGACCAUGCAUUGAUCAGGUUUUGAUUUUAAUGGCCAUGUACCAUGAAAGAUGGAAAGAAACGGGAAAAGCUCAGCAUUAGGUGCAUAGUCCCUUCCUUAGCGAGCCACCUGGGAUCCUCUUCAAAGUAGAUGGGGUGUGAAUGACACAUGGACUCCGCAGUGUGAGAGCUCACUUCAGGCUAUGAGGACACCCCUGGGACAGGUGACUCUUCAAGGGCACUGGAAGGGACAUAACGAUCGCCCUCAAGGAUUGCUGCGCUUCUUAAAGCUCCUGGUUUACACCCACACGAAGCUACUUUCUCCUCGGCAGGGAUGGUUGAAUAAAUACAGAUUGGCCCUGUUCUGCUGGCUCCCCGAGACUGCCUUUUCCAGGCUGCAGUGGCGUAGCCUUAAAAAGAGGGUCAGGAUUCCUUCUGCCAGCGCCAGCCUUGCCCGUGGGUGAAAGAAGCAGCAACCUGCCUAGUUGGAUUUGAAUGAUGCCCAGAGGUCUCCGCUGCCAGGCCUGUCCCUCUCCAGGCUGUGGUGUCUGAAACUCCACCAUUAGAGAGUCAUUUCUUGGGCUUGGCUAAGGGACCAGGCUCUUUUAUAAAGCAAACGCCCCUGAGCACCUGGCUCUGACAGUGAUUCAUCAAGUGUCUUUCCCACCAGAAAGAGUGAAGUUGACCUGUGUGCCAGGCACUGUACCAGAUGCAUUAUAUUCCUUAAGGCAUUGAAUCCUCACAGUAUCCCAUGAGAGAGGGCGUCUUUCCCCCAUGUUGUAGGAGAAGAAAGGAGAGCUCAGAGAGGCCAGGAGAUGUCCCUGAGAUCACGUGGCUAGGAAUAGCGAGUCAGGACUCAAACCCUGAUCUGCCCGAUUCCUUAGCCCAGUGAGGGCCUGGAUGCUGCUGGGAAGAGAGGAGACAAGAGGUGGACAUAGCAGGACAGGGCCUCGGGGUCGGGACACAAACCCGAUGGCCCUGCUGAGCGCCAGCUCUGCACACUCCCUCCCCUUCCACCUCCUCAGAAAAAUAACCCCUGGGAACUCCUUGGACACUGGCAGAAUAUCAUACCAAUAAGGACGAGGGACAAGAGGAGGCUGGUUUGGAAUAAAAUGGAAUGUGUGAUUCCAGAAAGACUGUAUGAAAAUUCUGAGCAGUGAACAGAGUAAACAAUAAAGGUGCAAAGGAAAAAAAAAA